GCCAGCGGCGAUAGCAUGUUGAAACCACCAGUUACCAAUAUAUCACUGAAGUUGAGCAACCGUACGUGUGGUUAGAAUCCGGAUGGGUGACCAUCUGGGUAAUCGCGUGCUGCUAGCU
rnacentral:rRNA from 1 species